rnacentral:lncRNA from 1 species
GAAAAUUGUAUCGAACCCAUUGGCCGUGGUUGUCGUCCUCAUACUACUACUAGUGGGCAUUUCUGCUCUUUCUUGGUUAAUUCUGAAAUUCGGUAUUUGUCCAUCCCCAGCUGCCAGUGAUCCAGAAAAUCCUGGUGGUUGUUGCAGAAUCUUCCACCUUCACUUCCAUUUCCUUAGCUUUUCCGCAAUGACAUGGUAAAAUCUACAACCCUAUUUCCCACAACAUCAAACUCUUUUAGUUACUUAUCCAUUGUUUAUUCACUGCAGAAUUCACAGCUGAGCAAGUUUGUAACUCGAUUUGGGAGAAUGGGUGAUAUAUCUGCGUAUACCCUUAAGCAAACUUUUAUGUAUCAGUAUGUGUGAAAUUUUAACUAGUGAUUACUACUGGAGUUACUGUUGCUUAUAAGGCUCAUCUAGGACUCUCUCUCUCUCUCUCGCUCUCUCUCUCUCUCUAUAUAUAUGUGUCUGUGUGUGUGUAAAAGGAC